GACGAACGUUGGCGGCGUGCUUAAUACAUGCAAGUCAACUGAAGCAGUGGUAGCAAUAUCGCUGUGGAGGUGGCGCACGGGUGAGUAACACGUAGGUAAUCUGCCUUCAGGUCUGGCAUAACUCCGGGAAACCGGGGCUAAUAGCAGAUGAUGCAGCGGCUCGACAUCGAGACAGUUGUUAAAGCUAUGGCGCCUGAAGAUGAGCCUGCGUCUGAUUAGCUAGUUGGCGGGGUAACGGCCCACCAAGGCAACGAUCAGUAGCUGGUCUGGGAGGAUGAUCAGCCACACUGGAACUGAGACACGGUCCAGACUCCUACGGGAGGCAGCAGUAAGGAAUAUUGCUCAAUGGGAGAAAUCCUGAAGCAGCAACGCCGCGUGAGGGACGAAGGGCUUUUGCUUGUAAACCUCUGUAGUGAGAGAAAAAAAUCCCAAUCUUUGGGACAUGAUGGUAUCUCAAAAGUAAGCCCCGGCUAACUACGUG
rnacentral:rRNA from 1 species